ACAUGCAGUCGAACGGUAACGACGGGAGCUUGCUCCCGGGCGACGAGUGGCGGACGGGUGAGUAAUACUUAGGAAUCUGCCCAGUAGUGGGGGACAACUCGAGGAAACUCGAGCUAAUACCGCAUACGCCCUACGGGGGAAAGCGGAGGAUCUUUCGGGGCUUCGCGCUAUUGGAUGAGCCUAAGUCGGAUUAGCUUGUUGGUGGGGUAAAGGCCUACCAAGGCGACGAUCUGUAGCUGGUCUGAGAGGACGAUCAGCCACACUGGGACUGAGACACGGCCCAGACUCCUACGGGAGGCAGCAGUGGGGAAUAUUGGACAAUGGGGGCAACCCUGAUCCAGCAAUGCCGCGUGUGUGAAGAAGGCCUGCGGGUUGUAAAGCACUUUCAGUAGAGAAGAAAUGCCCAUGGUUAAUACCCGUGGGUCUUGACGUAACCUACAGAAGAAGCACCGGCUAACUCCGUGCCAGCAGCCGCGGUAAUACGGAGGGUGCGAGCGUUAAUCGGAAUUACUGGGCGUAAAGCGCGCGUAGGCGGUUUGGUCAGUCGGAUGUGAAAGCCCUAGGCUCAACCUGGGAAUGGCAUUCGAUACUGCCUGACUAGAGUAUGGUAGAGGGAAGUG
rnacentral:rRNA from 1 species